ensembl:snRNA U6 U6 spliceosomal RNA
GUGCUUGAUUCGGCAGCAUAUAUACUAAAAUUGGAAUGCCACAGAGAAGGUUAGCAUGACCCCUGUGCAAGGAUGGCAUGCAAAUUAAUGAAGCCAUCCAUAUUUUA